rnacentral:lncRNA from 1 species
CUCCUUAGUAACAAUUGAAAGAUUUAUAAAUGAGGAAAAGGAUAUGAAGGAGAAAUUUAAAAACAUCUUUAAUAAUAUAUCUUAUAAAAUUUACUCUAUAUAAUACAAAAUUGUAUAUUAGAUAAAAUUCUAUGAGCCAUUUUAAAAGGUACUACUACAUAAAACAUUUAUAGCUGACUCAUCUCUGUGAGGGAUUUCUCCAUUUUGUGUGUCUAUACACUCAUGUAGCAGGGUUCUCUGCUCAUAGAUGAAGACUGAGGGGGGCAAUAUUCACAACUGUGUGAUGAGGAAGAGAAAUUUUCGUUUCUAUUAGUUUUGUAUUGGUCUAUGCAGACUGAGAAUUUUUUUGUUUAUGAAUCUGCAUUUGGUGAUUACAUAUUAAUGUUUAUUUUAAGAGAAGAAAAGAAAGAAAAAAGAAAAGAUCUCAUUUCCUUAAAGGGACAUUUCUUGACGGCCCAAUCUUGAAUUGUCCUCCCACUUAUUUAUUCUCAUAGUACCCUGUAAUUUUCCUUCACAAAUGUAACAAUGUAUAUGGUUAUAUUUAUUACAUGUAUUGGUUCAAUGUAUGAUUUCCCCAGUAGACUGUAAGUUCCAUCUGGACAGAGAUCUGAUCUCUUUUCUAAGCAUUUAACACACUGCCUGGCACACAUUUUUUAAAAAGUUUAUCUACGAAUGUAAACAAAAGGAGAAAGUAGGCAAUAAAUCAUCUGAAUGAAUACAAAAUUGCUGAUGAUGUCUGGGUAUAUGGUAAAUAGAAUGUCAUAAGAAUUUAGAUACCUUAUUUGGAUGCGCUAGCCCAGCAUUCAGAGACUACUAACACAGUUUAAUAAUUGUGGAAAUACAACACAUAAAUUUACAAAAAUGUCUAUAUUUCUGACCCUUCUGGCCCUUCAACUUCAAGCUUUACCUCUUCUAAUAUAUUCUAAAUACUGCUGACCAAUGAGUUUUCCAAUCUCCUCAUCUGACUUCUCUCAUUUUCUUCAAAAUUUUCCCUAAACUUCUUGCUCUUUAUAGUAAAUACAAAUCAUUCACAUGAAGUUUGAAGUUUCUUUCCCGCACCCUUCCUUGUAUGUUUCAAGUAUUAUGUCUGUUUGCAUUGCUUCAGUGCCCUAUUGAUUCUGGAGCCAGCUCGCUGUUUUAUGCUAUUAAGGCAUUUCCUUCACUUCAGUCAACAACCCAUCCUUCCUUAAGCAGUAAGACACAACAAGAACGAAAGUACUUUCACCCCUUUAUAAGCUUCCCUACAUCAAAACCAGCACAAAUAAAAUGUCUAGUUCCCCAAAGGGAACAUGGCAAUUGCCUCACCUCCAACAUUCUUUUAAGAAUACACCCAUUCCACAUGAGAGAAAUGUGUUUGGCUCCAAACCGGAAUUCAGAGUCUGUACUGGUGAAGUACAAAGUUGUCCUAUUUCUGGACAAAAUAAAUUCAUUGAUCAAAGCAGCAAUUCACUCUGUUCUUCCAAAUAUGGUUCUCGUUUCCAUUUAGAGUAGCCAUAACAUUUAUUAUUUUAUUGUAAAAUGUUAUUACUUUUCAUUCUUAAACAUGUAAGCCAGUAUACUUUUGAGAAUAAAACAAGCUACAGGUAGUAGGUAUAAACCAGAACUGUUUCAGACAACUAGGGAUGAGCAAUGUUAUGAGUCUUCAUUUUAAAUGAUGGAGAUCAAGGAAUUACUCCUUGAAAUCUUUGUAGUUUUCAGACGCUUGGUCAAGGUUACUAGUUUUAAGGAUUUCAGAUGAAAAAAUAAAUGAAGA